rnacentral:rRNA from 1 species
UCGGGAAUUUUGCGCAAUGGGCGAAAGCCUGACGCAGCAACGCCGCGUGAGGGAUGAAGGCCUUCGGGUUGUAAACCUCUUUUAUCAGGGAAGAUAAUGACGGUACCUGAUGAAUAAGUCACGGCUAACUACGUGCCAGCAGCCGCGGUAAUACGUAGGUGACAAGCGUUGUCCGGAUUUACUGGGCGUAAAGAGCGCGCAGGCGGUCGUUCAAGUCGAGUGUGAAAGCCCCCGGCUCAACUGGGGAGGGUCAUUCGAUACUGAUCGACUCGAAGGCAGGAGAGGGAAGUGGAAUUCCCGGUGUAGUGGUGAAAUGCGUAGAUAUCGGGAGGAACACCAGUGGCGAAGGCGACUUCCUGGCCUGUUCUUGACGCUGAGGCGCGAAAGCUAGGGGAGCAAACGGG